rnacentral:rRNA from 1 species
GACAGAGGCCUCAAGCGUUAGGCGGAAUCACUGGGCUUAAAGCGUGUGUAGGCGGAUGCCUAAGUACCUUGUGAAAUCCCACGGCUCAACCGUGGAACUGCUGGGUAUACUGGGCGUCUUGGGCCAUUCAGGGGCGACUGGAACAAGCGGUGGAGCGGCGAAAUGCGUAGAUAUCGCUUGGAACGCCGAAGGUGAAAACAGGUCGCUGGGGAUGUGCCGACGCUGAGACACGAAAGCCAGGGGAGCAAACGGG